rnacentral:misc_RNA from 1 species
GGAAGAACGUAGCGAAAUGCGAUAAGUAAUGUGAAUUGCAGAAUUCAGUGAAUCAUCGAAUCUUUGAACGCACAUUGCGCCCCCUGGUAUUCCGGGGGGCAUGCCUGUUCGAGCGUCAUUUCACCACUCAAGCCUCGCUUGGUAUUGGGCAACGCGGUCCGCCGCGUGCCUCAAAUCGACCGGCUGGGUCUUCUGUCCCCUAAGCGUUGUGGAAACUAUUCGCUAAAGGGUGUUCGGGAGGCUACGCCGUAAAACAACCCCAUUUCUAAGGUUGACCUCGGAUCAGGUAGGGAUACCCGCUGAACUUAAGCAUAUCAAUAAGCGGAGGA